ACGAAUGGCCUAUUUUGGCCUUCAACCUUCAAACCUUUGUGAACCUUACAACUUGCUUCGGCGAGCCCCUCUCUCCGGAUUGGGAUCGCCGCGUUUAUGCUCGAAUGUGUUUUGUGUGUCGAUUUCUAUAAUAAAUA
rnacentral:misc_RNA from 1 species